ACAUCUCUUGGAGUUCUAGCUCACCUUUCUGGUGUUGUUCUUGUACUCAUCUGUUUAAUCUAGUUCUGCUACUUCUUCUUGAACUUCUUGUUAGAUUUCAAGUCUGUAUUUUGUAUCCGUGACAGUUUGUCGAGACUACACUAACUUGAGAUAUCAGAGCUAGUUCUUUCUUAGUAGAGUGUGGAUUAUCCCUCUACUUGAAGGUAUACUAGCAUUUUUUAGAAGUUGCGGAUUACCCUCCUC
rnacentral:lncRNA from 1 species